rnacentral:rRNA from 1 species
GGGGAAUUUUGGACAAUGGGGGCAACCCUGAUCCAGCCAUUCCGCGUGAGUGAAGAAGGCCUUCGGGUUGUAAAGCUCUUUCGGCAGGAACGAAACGGUGCGGGCCAAUACCCUGCAUCAAUGACGGUACCUGAAGAAGAAGCACCGGCUAACUACGUGCCAGCAGCCGCGGUAAUACGUAGGGUGCGAGCGUUAAUCGGAAUUACUGGGCGUAAAGCGUGCGCAGGCGGUUUUGUAAGACAGAUGUGAAAUCCCCGGGCUUAACCUGGGAACUGCGUUUGUGACUGCAAGACUCGAGUGCGGCAGAGGGGGGUGGAAUUCCACGUGUAGCAGUGAAAUGCGUAGAGAUGUGGAGGAACACCGAUGGCGAAGGCAGCCCCCUGGGUCGACACUGACGCUCAUGCACGAAAGCGUGGGUAGCAAAC